rnacentral:lncRNA from 1 species
AUGUUACGAGGACUGUCCCUCUAUCUCUGGCGACCAGAGAAACUUCAGAACCAAAAAUCCGCGCUGCUGUGCUGCGGAGAGGAUCUCCAUCCCGCCCCUGUAUUGGCCCAUGGUCUCAGACUGGCUCUCCCAUUGGUGUUUUGCGCUGUCAGUCCGCUGCGCCGCUCCGUGCCCCGGAGCUUGCUGGGAGCUGUAGUCAGUGUUUUCCUGGGCCUGGAGACCUCGGCCAGACGGCGAAGGUUUUUCUCCUCAGCGUCUCUGAGAAGCUGCCGAGGAUUCCCAUCUUGGCCUCUGGCGCUUAUUUCAGUCCCGGAAUCCCUCAGGCCUAGCAUGUCGGUUACCUUAACUCCCGUGACUCGCUACCUUCUGGCAAUUUCCCUAGGGAUACUGUGAGAUCACAUCUUUUUAUUUUACACUUGGACCGCUUUCUAUUUUUUCCUUUCCUUUUUUUUGGAAGAGCUCCAGAAAAUGGUAAGCAAAUAAAUGCCUUUUUCCUUCACUUCUCUGAGAUAAAACCUGUAAAUGAUUAUAAAAGAGGAGGAUAUGAUUUAAUAUAAUCCCUUUUCUAAUUCAGAUAACAGCUAGCUUUUCUGAACAAAAGUGCA